rnacentral:rRNA from 1 species
GACGAACGCUGGCGGCGUGCUUAACACAUGCAAGUCGAACGGAAAGGCCCUGCUUUUGUGGGGCGCUCGAGUGGCGAACGGGUGAGUAACACGUGAGUAACCUGCCCUUGACUUUGGGAUAACUUCAGGAAACUGGGGCUAAUAUCGGAUAGGAGCUCCUGCUGCACGGUGGGGGUUGGAAAGUUUCGGCGGUUGGGGAUGGACUCGCGGUUUACGAGCUGGUUGGUGGGGUAGGGGCUUACCAAGGUUUUGACGGGUAGCCGGCCUGAGAGGGUGGCCGGCCACAUUGGGACUGAGAGACGGCCCAGACUCCUACGGGAGGCAGCAGUGGGGAAUAUUGCACAAUGGGCGGAAGCCUGAUACGGCAACGCCGCGUGCGGGAUGACGGCCUUCGGGUUGUAAACCGCUUUCGCCUGUGACGAAGCGUGAGUGACGGUAAUGGGUAAAGAAGCACCGGCUAACUACGUG